UACGGAGGGUGCGAGCGUUGUCCGGAAUCACUGGGCGUAAAGGGCGCGUAGGCGGCAGGCCAAGCGUGCGGUGAAAGUCCGGGGCUCAACCCCGGAUCUGCCGUGCGGACUGGUUUGCUAGAGCACUGUAGAGGCGAGUGGAAUUCCUGGUGUAGCGGUGGAAUGCGCAGAUAUCAGGAAGAACACCCGUGGCGAAGGCGGCUCUCUGGGACGGUACUGACGCUGAGACGCGAAAGCGUGGGGAGCGAACAGG
rnacentral:rRNA from 1 species